ACUCCUUAUUUCGCAGGUAGCAUGGGACUCGAAGAAGGACCUGAGGGACCUUCGAAAUUUGGCCUCAAUGAACACCAAGAGGUAGCAUGGGACUCGAAGAAGGACAUGAGGGACCUUCGAAAUUUGGCCUCGAUGAACACCAAGAGGUAGCAUGGGACUCGAAGAAGGACCUGAGGGACCUUCGAAAUUUGGCCUCAAUGAACACCAAGAGGU